rnacentral:rRNA from 1 species
CGGACGGUGAGUUCGCGUGAGAAUCUGCCCUCAGGAGGGGGAUAACGGCUGGAAACGGCCGCUAAUACCCCAUAUGCCGAGAGGUGAAAUGAAUUUCGCCUGAGGAUGAGCUCGCGUCUGAUUAGCUAGUUGGUGGGGUAAAGGCCUACCAAGGCGACGAUCAGUAGCUGGUCUGAGAGGAUGAUCAGCCACACUGGGACUGAGACACGGCCCAGACUCCUACGGGAGGCAGCAGUGGGGAAUUUUCCGCAAUGGGCGAAAGCCUGACGGAGCAACGCCGCGUGAGGGAUGAAGGCCUCUGGGCUGUAAACCUCUUUUAUCAAGGAAGAAGAUCUGACGGUACUUGAUGAAUAAGCCACGGCUAAUUCCGUGCCAGCAGCCGCGGUAAUACGGGAGUGGCAAGCGUUAUCCGGAAUUAUUGGGCGUAAAGCGUCCGCAGGCGGUCUUGUAAGUCUGUCGUCAAAGCGUGGAGCUUAACUCCAUUUCUGCGAUGGAAACUGCAAGACUAGAGUGUGGUAGGGGCAGAGGGAAUUCCCGGUGUAGCGGUGAAAUGCGCAGAUAUCGGGAAGAACACCAGUGGCGAAGGCGCUCUGCUGGGCCAUAACUGACGCUCAUGGACGAAAGCCAGGGGAGCGAAAGGGAUUAGAUACCCCUGUAGUCCUGGCCGUAAACGAUGAACACUAGGUGUCGGGGGAAUCGACCCCCUCGGUGUCGUAGCCAACGCGUUAAGUGUUCCGCCUGGGGAGUACGCACGCAAGUGUGAAACUCAAAGGAAUUGACGGGGGCCCGCACAAGCGGUGGAGUAUGUGGUUUAAUUCGAUGCAACGCGAAGAACCUUACCAGGGUUUGACAUCCUGCGAAUCCCUUGGAAACGAGGGAGUGCCUUCGGGAGCGCAGAGACAGGUGGUGCAUGGCUGUCGUCAGCUCGUGUCGUGAGAUGUUGGGUUAAGUCCCGCAACGAGCGCAACCCACGUCGUUAGUUGCCAGCAUUCAGUUGGGCACUCUAGCGAGACCGCCGGUGAUAAACCGGAGGAAGGUGUGGAUGACGUCAAGUCAUCAUGCCCCUUACAUCCUGGGCUACACACGUACUACAAUGCUACGGACAAAGGGCAGCAAACUCGCGAGAGCUAGCAAUCCCAUAAACCGUGGCUCAGUUCAGAUCGUAGCUACAC